rnacentral:lncRNA from 1 species
AAUUCCACUGCCAAAAAUUUAAUGAGGCUUACAGUUUUAUGGACAAAUUUAUGUUAAAAACUGUGAUCUGAAAAGACUCUACUGUGUCAAAAUUCAACAGAUUGCAGCUAAUCUACACAGCAUGUUCUUGUGUGUUGUGAGCCCUGGGCAGGUGGGUAUGCCUAUGGGCAAGAACACUGAGGCCAGGCCUCCAUUCCUGUGGUCUAUGUACCUCCAAGUGCAAGGUUGGAGAGCUUGAGCAAGGCCAGAGGAAAGCCACACUGAAGUCUUCGGGGCGGAACCGCGGGCGCCGGAGUGGUCCCAGACUGGGCUGGGACCGGGCAGCCUAGAAGAAGGAUCCCCUCAGUAGAGACCAGGCCUCCAGCUCUCCGUCCGGCGCUCCGCUCCACAACCCGCCAGUCGAUGUGAGGUCCGUCAAGGGAGCUAUCCCUCCGUCUGCCCGGGCUUCCGGGCUGUGGACCGCACUGAACCCAGUCCCGCAGCAAGCCCUGCUGCCGCCUUUUCCUGGGCACGCCUGGGGUGGUGACGGCCGCUGCUCAUGUCUCCACGCCAAACCCCAGCCCCUCUCCCGAUUCCUGCUCCUUGGUAAAGCGCCCCAGCCUGUCUUCGGAGUGAAAAUUGAGCAGCUUCCAGAAAAUUAACUAGAAUGUGGUCUAUAUUGCUUUGAGUUGUUUUGGAUUCAAAAAAAAUGAACCCCACCUCUCCGCACCCCAUAGCCUAAAAAAAAAAAAAGUCCUCAUUUUUUCAAAUGGAGUUUGCUCAGCACUUGCGAAUUUUUACUUCCUGUAACUACUUUGCAGACAAUUGGGGGUCUGCUCGUUAGAAACCCCCUUACGCAUGUACAGGGCUUUCAAAUAACCUGGAGAUUUAGGCGUCCCUCUGUUGGGGGUGGGAAGGAUUUUUAAGCACGGGAGGUAGGUAACAGGACUCCUGCGCACAUUUGUUCAGAUAACACCUCUGAUAACGUAAUGCAAUCCAGGGUCCUUAAGAGAACAGAUGCCAGGUGAACGCAAGAGCGGGUGUUUUUUGUUGUGACAGCGACAGACAAGUUACAGUAUCAAAACUGAAAGGGAAAGUGAACUGUUUUUCCAGGCAGUUCCCGUUUGGUAAGUUCUUUACGGGCACACAAAUGUAACUCUUUCACCUUAAUAAAUGUAACAAUACAUACACACACACACACACACACAUAUAUACCUUUGGUUUGUAAAAAUAUGUGUGACAUGAAGCAUAAAUACGAGCAUGGAAUUGCAUGGGCAUACGAUCAUCGGGAAAAUGGAAGGAGAGUUCGCGGUAAUUAAACAUUUCCAGACACCGGAGGGUUAUUAUCUGCAGAGCGAUUUCUUUUGGGGGGGGGGGAAUAGCUUAAAAGUACUUUAAAUAUUGAUAAGCUAAAGGGAAAGACCUGUGCAUUAGUCAGAGUUCUCCUGAGAAACAGAACAAACAUCUCCUUAUACUAAGGAACUAGCUCAUGCAAUUAUGGAGCUGGACAAGUCCCAAGAUCUGCAGUCAGCAAGCUGGAGACCCAGUAGAGAUG